CCUACGGGUGGCAGCAGUGGGGAAUAUUGGGCAAUGGGCGCAAGCCUGACGCAGCAACGCCGCGUGAAUGAAGAAGGCUUUCGGGUUGUAAACUUCUUUUCUGAGGGACGAAGAAAGUGACGGUACCUCAGGAAUAAGCCACUGCUAACUACGUGCCAGCAGCCGCGGUAAUACGUAGGUGGCAAGCGUUAUCCGGAUUUAUUGGGUGUAAAGGGCGUGGAGGCGGGAAAGCAAGUGUGAUGUGAAAACUCAGGGCUCAACCCUGAGACUGCAUUUGAAACUUGCUUUCUUGAGUGCUGGAGAGGUAAUCGGAAUUCCGGGUGUAGCGGUGAAAUGCGUAGAUAUAAGGAGGAACACCAGUGGCGAAGGCGGAUUGCUGGACAGUAACUGACGCUGAGGCGCGAAAGCGGGGGGAGCAAAUAGGAUUAGAUACCCCAGUAGUC
rnacentral:rRNA from 1 species